GACGAACGCUGGCGGCGUGCUUAACACAUGCCAGUCGAACGGUGAAGCGCCUUCCUUUUUGGUGGGUGUGGAUGAGUGGCGAACGGGUGAGUAACACGUGAGUAACCUGCCCCCUUCUUCUGGAUAACCGCAUGAAAGUGUGGCUAAUACGGGAUAUUCUGGGUCUGUCGCAUGAUGGGUCUGGGAAAGAUAUUGUUUCGGUGGGGGAUGGGCUCGCGGCCUAUCAGCUUGUUGGUGGGGUGAUGGCCUACCAAGGCGGUGACGGGUAGCCGGCCUGAGAGGGUGGACGGUCACACUGGGACGGAGACACGGCCCAGACGCCUACGGGAGGCAGCAGUGGGGAAUAGUGCACAAUGGGCGCAAGCCUGAUGCAGCGACGCCGCGUGAGGGAUGGAGGCCUUCGGGUUGUGAACCUCUUUCGCCAGUGAAGCAGGCCUGCCUCGUUUGUGGGUGGGUUGACGGUAGCUGGAUAAGAAGCGCCGGCUAACUACGUG
rnacentral:rRNA from 1 species